rnacentral:rRNA from 1 species
UACGUAGGGUGCGAGCGUUGUCCGGAAUUAUUGGGCGUAAAGCGCACGUAGGCGGUUUGUUAAGUCGGAUGUGAAAUCCCUCGGCUCAACUGAGGAAGUGCAUCCGAAACUGGCAAGCUUGAGUACGAAAGAGGGUCGCGGAAUUCCCGGUGUAGAGGUGAAAUUCGUAGAUAUCGGGAGGAACACCGGUGGCGAAGGCGGCGACCUGGGUCGAUACUGACGCUGAGGUGCGAAAGCGUGGGGAGCAAACAGG